rnacentral:rRNA from 1 species
CACAGCCGCGGGAAUACGUAGGGCGCAAGCGUUAUCCGGAAUUAUUGGGCGUAAAGAGCUCGUAGGCGGUUUGUCGCGUCUGCCGUGAAAGUCCGGGGCUCAACCCCGGAUCUGCGGUGGGUACGGGCAGACUAGAGUGAUGUAGGGGAGACUGGAAUUCCUGGUGUAGCGGUGAAAUGCGCAGAUAUCAGGAGGAACACCGAUGGCGAAGGCAGGUCUCUGGGCAUUAACUGACGCUGAGGAGCGAAAGCAUGGGGAGCGAACAGGAUUAGAUACCCGCGUAGUCCCUGUCUCUUAUACA